rnacentral:rRNA from 1 species
AUUGAACGCUGGCGGCAGGCCUAACACAUGCAAGUCGAACGAGUGGCGGACGGGUGAGUAAUGUCUGGGAAACUGCCGGAUGGAGGGGGAUAACUACCGGAAACGGUAGCUAAUACCGCAUACCAUCAGAUGUGCCCAGAUGGGAUGAGCUGGUGGGCUGGGUAACGUCUCACCAAGGCGACGAUCCCUAGCUGGGCUGAGUGGAUGACCAGGCCGACUGGAGCUGAGCCACGGGCCAGUCGCCGAAGGGAGGCGGCAUGGGGGAGUAUUGAAGAAUGGGAGGAAGACUGAUGCAGCCAUGCCGCGUGUAUGAAGAAGGCCUUCGGGUUGGAAAGGACUUUCAGCGGGGUGGCGUUACCCGCAGAAUAAGCACCGGCUAACUCCGUGCCAGCAGCCGCGGUAAUUC